AACGAACGCUGGCGGCAUGCCUAACACAUGCAAGUCGAACGAGACCUUCGGGUCUAGUGGCGCACGGGUGCGUAACGCGUGGGAAUCUGCCCUUGGGUUCGGAAUAACAGUUGGAAACGACUGCUAAUACCGGAUGAUGACGUAAGUCCAAAGAUUUAUCGCCCAGGGAUGAGCCCGCGUAGGAUUAGCUAGUUGGUGGGGUAAAGGCCUACCAAGGCGACGAUCCUUAGCUGGUCUAAGAGGAUGAUCAGCCACACUGGGACUGAGACACGGCCCAGACUCCUACGGGAGGCAGCAGUGGGGAAUAUUGGACAAUGGGCGAAAGCCUGAUCCAGCAAUGCCGCGUGAGUGAUGAAGGCCUUAGGGUUGUAAAGCUCUUUUACCCGGGAUGAUAAUGACAGUACCGGGAGAAUAAGCCCCGGCUAACUCCGUG
rnacentral:rRNA from 1 species